GCGAGAGUGGCGGAACGGCAGACGCGCCAGAUUUAGGAUCUGGUGGGCAACCGUAGGGGUUCAAGUCCCCUCUCUCGCACCA
rnacentral:tRNA from 1 species